UGGGGAAUAUUGCGCAAUGGGGGAAACCCUGACGCAGCAACGCCGCGUGAAGGAUGAAGGUUUUCGGAUUGUAAACUCCUUUUUCUGGGGAAGAGAACGGACGGUACCCGGAGAAUAAGUCACGGCUAACUACGUGCCAGCAGCCGCGGUAAUACGUAGGUGGCAAGCGUUGUCCGGAUUUACUGGGCGUAAAGGGAGCGUAGGCGGACUUUUAAGUGAGAUGUGAAAUACCCGGGCUCAACCUGGGUGCUGCAUUUCAAACUGGAAGUCUAGAGUGCAGGAGAGGAGAGUGGAAUUCCUAGUGUAGCGGUGAAAUGCGUAGAGAUUAGGAAGAACACCAGUGGCGAAGGCGACUCUCUGGACUGUAACUGACGCUGAGGCUCGAAAGCGUGGGGAGCAAACAGG
rnacentral:rRNA from 1 species